UUUGAAAGAAAUUUUAGUUUCAUAUUAAUGUAAAAAAUAACUUUUAUUCAGGUUCCGGGAAAACACUGACAUAUGCUAUUCCAAUCCUACAAAAGCUGGGUGAGCGGGAACCCCGAGUUCAACGUAGUGAUGGAUGUUUUGCUAUUAUAAUUGUUCCAACCAGGGAGCUCGCUCUACAGAGCUAUGAAUGGUUUCAGAAACUUUGCAGGGCGUUUAUCUGGUUGGUUCCUGGACUACUGGUGGGAGGAGAAGGAAGGAAAGCAGAGAAAGCUAGAUUGAGGAAGGGUGUAAAUAUCCUCUUGUCUACACCUUUUCGUCUG